UUUGAUCAUGGCUCAGAUUGAACGCUGGCGGCAGGCCUAACACAUGCAAGUCGAGCGGUAGCACAAGAGAGCUUGCUCUCUGGGUGACGAGCGGCGGACGGGUGAGUAAUGUCUGGGAAACUGCCUGAUGGCGGGGGAUAACUAGUGGAAACGGUAGCUAAUACCGCAUAACGUCGCAAGACCAAAGUGGGGGACCUUCGGGCCUCACGCCAUCAGAUGUGCCCAGGUGGGAUUAGCUGGUAGGUGGGGUAACGGCUCACCUAGGCGACGAUCCCUAGCUGGUCUGAGAGGAUGACCAGCCACACUGGAACUGAGACACGGUCCAGACUCCUACGGGAGGCAGCAGUGGGGAAUAUUGCACAAUGGGCGCAAGCCUGAUGCAGCCAUGCCGCGUGUGUGAAGAAGGCCUUCGGGUUGUAAAGCACUUUCAGCGAGGAGGAAGGGUAAUGUGUUAA
rnacentral:rRNA from 1 species